AGGAUGAUAGGACCAAAGAUGCAAAUGAGGAUCAGUAGCUGUACUGCUACUGUUGCUGUUGCCAAAGAACAAAAAAAGAGGAAGGUUUCCAAUAAACUCUCCCAAACCCUGGACUCAAAGCUGCAUCUGACAUAAUACUGAGAGGGACUUCCUGGUUCACUGAACCCAGUCUCCUGCCAUCAGAGAUAUAUCAUCAUAUAAUGCUGUUAAUUAAUUUAUCUCAUGUCUAUCACCACAGUACCAGGCAGUUGCUGGAGGCAAGAGGAGGAAGGAGGACAGAAGGAAGAGAGAAGCCAGGCAGCAGACCCUGCUCAGGAAAUUUGCAGACCUAGGAGGGAAGGAUGCAUCGAAGAAGUGAACCAAUGACUCCGGCGGUGGUGCUACUGAGAGGGCUUCAGUUCCUUCAACCACCGCACACUUCAGGGAGAGAGGACUCUUGGGAAGGAAAAGCAUCCACUUCAUGUGGAGGGGUAAGUCCCUGUUCUUGGCCAGGGUGGCCAAUCUUCUAGAUAGAGCUUUAAACUAAGAUCACCAGGGGGGAGCGAGGGGGGCAGGGAAACACUGACUGGAGCAUGCCCAGGGAUGGGCACACAAGAAAGCUCUGAAGUUGGGGACACUAGUGUCACAACCCAAGGGUGUGAUUUUGUGUGUGCGCGCGCGCUUCGGCACUGCUAAAUUAUUUCCCGCCACUCGUAGCUUUCUUUGCAGGGUGCAUUUCUAGGUUGCAAAAGAGAAAUGCACGGUGCAAGGAGUUCCCGCCAUUCAUAUACAAAUUUGUGUCCCACUAUUGGCCAGUUCUGAAUUAUUCCCACGUGGCGGCUAGUGAUUGGCCUACUAGCCGUAUAAGAGGCUUGAGUGGUUUCCGCCCAAGUUGGAGAACUCCGAGGAGAACCCCGCAAGGGAGGACUCCACAACCAUCUGGAGGAGGAGAACUUCACAUCUUGUGAAGAUCUCUAAGCGCUGCAGAGCCUAUCGGACCCAGCAUGCAUCUCAAGAAGGCUAUAGGGGUCUGAUCAGCCUCUCGCCUCUCCCCGUCGCCACCUGAUCCCUCGACGUACCCUUCCCUGCGUGCAAGUUCCACGGAGCCUAGCAAACUUCGUGUGAGUGUAUUCAGAGCUCUUUGCUUCGAGUUACUUUCUUUGGUUGACACGACGGGCUCGCGGUUUGGAGCCUCCAACCGGAUGGGCUAGAAGGUUCACGGGAAGGAACUCUAGUCCGCCUCUCUUCUUUUCUGUCUGUAACUGCAACUCAAGCAAGUUUUCCUGCCUGCACCGUGACCAUCUUCGGUGUAAGUAAAAUAAUCUUUAAUCAAC